ACUAGCUAGAUUUUCUUCUUCGCUAUAUCCUUUACCAUAAAAGUGACUUUGAACUAGUUACUUUUUGUAAGACCAUUCAAUUUCUGGGAGUUGCGUCUUCACAAAGAAAUCAAAUGAUACAUUCCAGAGAGUGUUUUUGUGAAGAAAGUGCGAAGUGCUUAGUAAGUUUUCAACAAAUGGAAACCAUCAUCAUUAUCAUCAUUACACAUCAUGGAAGGCUCAGAGGACUCUUCAGGUGACAUUAGCUACUGAUGACACUAAAGAGAGGAACAAAGGAGAGCUGUUUCUUAUUUAUGUGCAUCAAACUAAGAGUGCUAAUGAAGAAGCAAAAGGACAGGACAAGAGGUAGGACAGAAAACAACUUAUUUAUAUAUGUGAAGCAAUAUCAUUACAAGGGAUUCUUGGGGAGACUCCCCUAGGACAUGACACUUGAGCUUACUUGGAGAAAGACAUGCCCGUUGGAUAUGUCAACUUUGCCAUAGUGGUUUCAACCUUUGGGGAAGUCUCUUUCCACAGUGUCAGCAGCAACUCCAGACCUGUCAACUCAACAAUGCUUUACAACUAAUGCCUUUCACAGUGACUGAGAUAGAAAAAGAACUGCAAUAAUGUGGCCCAGGCUUCAGGAGGAUUAGAAAUUCAACCGCAUACAUUGGGUACUCACUAUGUGUAUGGAAAUAGGUGAGUCGACAAUGACAUGAUGGAAAAAAAUUACCUUUAGCAGAAAACCAAGUCUCAGGAAAGAAUGGAGCUAUUUAG